rnacentral:rRNA from 1 species
UACGAAGGGGCUAGCGUUGUUCGGAUUUACUGGGCGUAAAGCGCACGGUAGGCGGAUCGUUAAGUCAGGGGUGAAAUCCUGGAGCUCAACUCCAGAACUGCCUUUGAUACUGGCGAUCUUGAGUCCGGAAGAGGUGAGUGGAACUCCUAGUGUAGAGGUGGAAUUCGUAGAUAUUAGGAAGAACACCAGUGGCGAAGGCGGCUCACUGGUCCGGUACUGACGCUGAGG